rnacentral:lncRNA from 1 species
GAGCAGCUUUCUGUCUCCUUGCCCUUCCACCAUGACGCUUCUGCCUUACCAUGGGCCAAAGAGUAAUGGAGCCAGCUACCUGUAGACUGAAAUCUCUGAGACUGAGACCAAACAAACCUUUCCUCAUUCAGUUGUGUAUCUCAGCGAUCUAAAGGGACUGAGACAUUGUCUGGACUGGGGUUUCCUGUCUAGAAGAUGGGUCUGUUGUGGAUUCCAUGAGGUCAUAUGGAUCUUCUGCAUUUGGUUCUAGCUAAGUAAGUGUGAUCAUAGGUAAAUUCAGGUCUGUGUGUGUAGAUCUAUGUCUGUGUGUACAGCUACCUAUAAAGUUUUAUUAGCAAGCUAGAACAACAGCAACAUGGCACCAUGAGCCUCUCCCUGGGGCUGGGGCACCUGAUUUGCCUGCCUCACUGCAAGGCUGUGCCCACAUGACGCCUGGGGCAGAAGAUGUGCUCCCAGCAGCACUUGCAUCCUGAUGGUUCUGACCCUCACCUGAAACAGCAAGAAAUCCAGCUUCAGGCGCAGAUGGAUUGCGGUUGCAAGAGUCUUGAACGCCACAGGGAUCAUUACCUAAGAGAUGUUGCUGUGAGGGUAAACAUGAGACCAAGACACUGCCCUGUGCUGAGUGCCGGGGGAAGGGCUUCCCAGAGGAGGCGACACAGAGCUUGUCGCAGGAGAGAGAGAGUGGGCACGGCCAUCAUUGGACUUCUGGCAACUGAGCUCAAGACUGAUGCACGCUGUGUCUUAGGGUGCUCUCCUGGGCUGAGCAGGGCCUGGAGCAGGCAGAUGUGCUCACAGCUGCCCGGGUGCCAGGAUACCACAGCCACUGUCCUGCUCAGUCCAGCCCUGGGCUUUGGUGUCCAGGCGGGAGAAACUUGGCUCUGUUGAGCUUUUCAAAAUAAAGUGGUUUUUAUUUCAUAUUCACGAGAGAGG